rfam:Choloepus hoffmanni cont1.678580, whole genome shotgun sequence.
GACUGUAGCUUCCAGCAAAGCAGGAAGCUGACCAUAAAGGGGAAACAAAAGGGCCUGAGGAGCCCUGCUGUGCUCUGUGGAUUGAGCCACACUGCUGAGCCCUGAGGGCUGUGAACCCGUCCUCAGGAGAGAGCAGCUGGAGGCCUGGGCAGUGAGGAGCCCUAGGG